AUCACAGUCUCCCUACCCCCUUUCAAAGGGGGAAAUGCCCUUUCUUCCUGAACCCUCCUGCUGCUCCUGCUCCAUCAAGGCUGGGCUUCUGAGCGCCCGGGACCUGUCCUGGCGUGAGAGGACACCGGAACUCUGCACAGCAGGCCCUGUCCUCCAGUUGCAUUCCUGCAGCCUGUCUCCUGCCCUGGCUGAGUGGGGGCAGGGUGCAGAGGGUGCAGAGCCUUUUCAGGUUCUUUCAUGGCUACAUAUGGGGCCUGAGCACACGAUUUGGGGUCCUGGACCCAAGCCUCUCUCUUUUUUUUUGUCUUUUUGAGACAGGGUCUUGCUAUGCGGUUCAGGCUGGCCUUGGGCUCACUCUUAGCCCAGGCUGGUCUCGAACUUGCCACAAUCUGCCUGCCUCAGCCUCCCAAGUGCUGGGAUUACAGGAGUGCGCCACCAUGCCCAGCUCCCAAGCCUCUCAUUUUAAAAGAGAUACGGAGGUCCAGAGAAGUAACUGGGUCAGGGACACAAGGCUGCCCUUGGGAGGCUGAGGCAGGAGGAUGGUUGUAGUUUGAGACCAGCCUGGUCUACAAAAUGAGUUCAGAAAAACAGGUAGAUUGGAAAUGUAGCUAAAUGUGAAGGCCCUGGGUUCUGUUCCCAGCACUGGAAGGAGAAGCACAGCUGUGGUGGAGCGGGGUCAUUCCAGGUCUCCUUGUACUCCCCUGGGCUGCCUGGCUGAGCCCUCAGUUCUCCACGGCAUCCUCCACAUCCCCGUGCUCUGUUAGCUUAGACUGCCUCUUGACUGACUCCUGACCCUCUCACCUGGCCCUACCUCUUAUCUGGAAGGUGGAAGUAACCUCAGCAUGUAGUUAUAGGGUUUAGAUGAAUGGAGUAGAUAAGGGCCUUGGAACAGAGCCUGGAACCAGUCCUAUUUAAGUGUUUGCCUUGCUAUUGUGCGGGAAGGUGAAAUGUGUCAGGAGGAACCCUUAGAGGAGGGGGAAGUUCCUUUGAAACCAUCAGCACACUCCCCGCCCAGCUCACAUUCACCCUGCGGACAAUCAGGUGAUUUGUUCUGGUGAGCAGUAGGUCUAUGGUUAUUGCUCUUUUCUUGAAAGAGCAUGAGAAGGCCAAACCCUGCCAGAAGGAGGUGGCAGGAGGUGGGGGGCACCAACCAGACACAGCCACCGCCUCAGCCGCCUGCAGCCGCCUGCACUGGGUCAAGGCUGCUCCCUGCUGUGCCACUCCAGGACCUGAACACCAAGCCCUUGGCUGCCUACCUAUUGAUAGCCAUGGCCCGUGGAGAGCAGAGUCAUUCCAUGAAGACCGCAUGGGUGUCACUCUGUCAGCUCUGUGGACAUCCUGGAACCUGGCAAGGCAGGUCUGAGCCUGGAGGUACCAGGUGAGCAUGGAGUGGGGCUCCUGGCUCCUUCCUGACUGUGGGGCUGCCCAGCACCGUCUGAAGCGCUCCUGGCUUCCCUCACCAGAUGCCAGCAGCACCUUGCAAGCUGUGACAGCCAGAAGGCUCUCAAGGUACUGCCCAUGUCCUCUGGGGGCCGAAGUGUCCCACUUGAAAACCACUACCUUAGGGUUAGCUAUCUAUGAAGAGACACACGAUGUGAAAAUGCUUGGAAUGCGUGGAGCAGAUGCUGAGAACAUGCGUACCAGCGAUAGCACCAUCUUAGCUUUCUAGGACAGUGGUUUGCGCGUGUAGCCUGCCCAGCACCUGGCCCACCUACCCCUGGGCACUGGGGCUUACUGUUCCCAACAUUGCUACAAAAUAUUCACUUUCUCUGUGUUCAUGCUGAAUUUCCGACAGCUUCAGAUGGCUUUUAGUGCGAGACCCCCUAAAAAGCAUCCCCGGAAAGGGACUAGGGCGACCACACUGCACAGGUGGCACAGGUGCUGUGCUGCUCUGCAGGAGGGAUGGAGUCUGGAGAGCGGGAAGAGGGAUGGGGUGAUCACCUCUGAGGGGAGCCUCCAGCUUAGGAGGAGCGUGGGAAGUACGGGGAGGGGUCGCCAGCCAUAAACUGCACAGGCUUUAGGAUUUUGCCGUGAACUCAGGAAAGGGGAGAAAUCGCUUCUUUUCCCUCCUGCCUGCUCUUGGCUCUGGGAUGCAGGAUUGACUUAGAAUCGCUAAUACCGCAGCUGAGCCGGACACAGACACCGCCUGCUCCUGGGAAGGAGGCUGCCUGCCAUUUCGUCUCCAGGAUGUGAUCUUAAGGGACAGAGCUGGUGUGCUUUUCCCCACGGAGGGAAAGGAGGCUCAGAGGUGCACACCGACUGAUCGGCUGCCCAGCUGUCUGGCUACAGGCAGAGAUGACCCUGGGCACUGAGGAUGCUCCUUCCCCCCACCCCAGCACUCACGAUGCGAUCGGGAGGUGGUGUGCUCCGGAUGAAGCACUUGAUCCGGCCCUUUUCACCGUGGAGGGCGUGCUGCGUCUGGGUGCUGGAGAUGAUGGGGGGCCCUGUUGGAGAGGCAGCAUCACGUUAGCUGUCCUAGAAAGGCAGGUCGCUGGCUGGCAGGUCCCUGCUUGGUGGGCUCAGAAACACAUUCAUUGAUCCAAGCACUCAGCAAAUGUUUACGGGGGCCCCGUAUGUGUAAGUCAGAGCGCGAGGCAGGGGACCUGGAGAUGAAUUAGACGUUUGGUGGUAAAGCUCUCAGGGGAUCAUGAGUGAAUGCACCGAAGUCAGAAUCCCCUGAAGACAUAAAUAACUGUAAUAAAAGGUGGUGAGCACUCAUGCCAUAGAAGCAGUGCAGAUAAAGUGCUAACCGACUUCAGAGGAGAGAGAAUAAUUCUAUCUGGCAGACAGGGAGUUUUACAAAGGAGGUGGUGAGUCUGAGAAGGACCAGGGUAGGUGUCAGGAUGAUGGAAGACAGACCUAAGGAAUGUCACCGCACCCCACCUUGGCCGGCUGUUGGAGCUCUGGGCAUUUCUCAGGUCUCCAGUAGAGGGCGCCCUUGCCCAGCAAACUGGAUGUCCUCCACCAGGCCAGCCAGGAAGGAGACGGUGCUGCUGUGUUCAUAGCCCUCAGUCCCACAUGUGUCUCCAGAGAGCCUGUCACUGGUUAUCUUGUUUGCUGCUACAUAUAUACACAGACGGCCCAGGUGAGAUCACAGCUCCCUAACUGGCCUCCAUAUUAGAUAUUACCCCAUCUGGUCUGUGUGCGUAGCGGGGAAUGGGUGACAGGGUGCCUGUCUCAUUGACCAGGCGGGGCAGCCUGUUCUUGGCCUUUCCUGUAAGUUCUGCCUGGCACGUAACCCAGGUCUUUCCUGGCAGUAAAAUGGGAAAGGAGAAACAGCGAGUUUAUCCAUUUGCUCAGCUAACCUCCUGGUUACUGUGGGCGGUGUAGGGUGGGAAACCCAGUUCCCUUCCCCACCCCUGCCUGGACAGCUGGGACUUUUAGACAGCAGGACACAGAGGAAGGAAAGCUAAGGGCAACAGCUCUGGCUGGAGCACGGGCAGAAUUAUGCUGAGGAACAAAACAAAAAUUGCUGCAAACCUAAUUGCUGUUUAUUAGCCACCUUAAUUAAAACAAAUUUGCAUUUCUAUGAGUAGCUCUCAGCCAAGGGGAAAAAAGUGUUGAGCGAUGAGGUGAUGCUUCGGUGGGGUUGAGGAUGCAACUGUCUCAGGGUGAGGAGGGCUGCAGAGCUGGGAACCCCAAGGUCAGCUGGCUUUAAAGUGGGGCUGAGCCCUGCUUUCCUUCUUUAAAGCCAAACUCAGAGAGGUCUUUGGCCCAAAGAGUGAAGGCUCCAUUGUUGGGAACCUGAAUGGUUCUUUGUUUAGCUGCUGGGCUACAAAGUGAUGCUAAGUCUUUGGAACUGGGGAUUCCCUAGAGGUUCAAGGGAUUCCAAAAGUGAUCAGCAAAUGCAUUCUGUUUAUAGGCUUCAAAAGAAACAAAAAGCAGGAUAAAGGGAGGUGGCUGGGAGUCAGUCAGCCAGUGGCAGCCAUCCUGGCCAUCCUCCGCUCCCUGUAGAUAGCAGGUUUGAGCCGGUUCGGCUGAGACCUGUGCCGGUGUGUUCCCUAGAGCACUUGGCUGGCAGGGUCCACAGGCAGCGACUGGCCUCAUUCCAGCCACUUUCACAUCAGAUGCCUUCGGUCCAGGUCAGGCCCCUGCCCGCCAGCUUUGCUGCCCCUCUGCCUGUCCUCAGGGUUGGGGACAAAUGUCCCCUCCCAGCUGGGGGCUGGCAGUCUCCUCUCCCUGGGCCACUUCAUCCAGCCCCCUAGCUUGGUGCCAGGCCCGCAGACACAGGCGGGUUAGCUGUCUUCCAAAUGCCAGUGCUCUUCCGUCCGGCAGUGUAGAGGAACCCCUGCUGGAUGGGCUGGAAGGGAAGCUUACACCAUGGGAAGAAGACCCAGGGUCAACCUGUGGAGCCCAGCCCAGGAGAAGGGUCCUCCAAGGCCUGCAUCCCGUCCCGCUGGGCAGUGGUGGAACGCCUUCUGCCCUCAAGAAACCUCUUUACAUCUCCACUGGGAGAGGCUGGAUGUCAAAAGUGACAGCAAAAUGUCAGCACCUCCUUAUCUACCUUUUCUCCCCCAGAAACAAGAUUGCUCAGUCACUGGCCUCAGACGGGGGACCCCGGAAGGUACACGUGAGCCCGAGGGCCCCAGCCCGUGGGCGGCAGAUGGCAGCGGCCUCGCUUUGUGGGCAGCGGGGAGGGCGCAGAGUUCACAGUGGCCUGGCGUGCAGAGCCCUGUGUCAGACACCGGCGCGGCAGGAAAAGUCUGCAGUCUGCGUUGCCAUGGAUAUACGGAGGCGCGAUCAGACCCUGUUAUUUUUAGCCCUGCAGUGCCAAUUUAUUGGCGGCAUCCUGGGGACACACAGGAAAGGCAGGAAGGCUCCCAAGUCGGGGUUCUGCCUGGGACAGGCGGCCUGCGAAUACUGUAGGGGCUGGGUGGAUUCACCCUCGCCCUGGCACUGCCACUACGAAGUGGGGGGGAGCUGGAGUGGGGACAGCAGAGAGGAUUCUGGGAGGCAUCAAGCUGGGCUUUGCUUUAGAGCCAAGGGGAAAACAGACGAGGCCGUCGUCCAUGGGUUGAGAUGAAGCCAGCGGAGAGGCUCAUUUCCAGAACGCAGCUCCCCCACCCCAUCUCAGGCCCUGCUCCGGGACCAGCACCUAGAGGCUCCUCCCACAUGGGUCCAUGACUCCGGUGCUGGCACUGUGACUUCUCGGUCUAGCCUGAGCUCAGUCCCCGUGCUGCAGGUAUCCAGGCCCCCCUCUGACACCUGCACCUUGAUGUAGCCCACAGCAGCUAUUGCUGAGCUCUCAGCACAAAUGCCCUGGGUUGUGUCACUGUGUGUAAGAAGACCAGUCCCCUUGUCUCCAGGGACCUUGCCCAUUGGUCUUUGGAUGGUGACAUGUCCCCCCAGCCAAGUGGCACUAAUUCAUUGGAAAGAACCUGGCUAUGAGAAGAGGAAGAUGGGCCUUACCCUUCUGGGAAAGGGGCAGGGUGGGUGAAUAGGGCAGAUGGAGGGGUACGGUUCCCUGUGACCUUGUCUCUUUUUUCCUGGCCAGGAUAAACUCAUCAGCCCCCACUCUCAGGGCUGAGACAUCCGCCCCCCACUUUUUUGAGGCUGGGUCUCCCUGUGUAAUUCAGGCUGGCCUUGAACUCACACUGACCCUCCUGCCUCAGCUUCCUGAGUGCUGGGAUUACAGGGAUACACCACCUUGCCUGGGUGGCUGAGAGCCUUUUGAAGAUAACAAACAGGAAGCAAUGGACCAGAGACCACCCACAUUCUUCCUCUGUCUGCCUGGGCUCUAAUAGGGACCCCAAGAGGUAGAUUCUACUGCUCUGGGCCACUGGUUGGAGGUGUAGCAAGGCCAGAACUGGUGACAGCCCCUUGGGUUUUCCUGUCCCCCCUUCCACCCAGCCCACCCCAGUGGGAAGCUCACCAUU